GAUGAAAAAUUCUCCGGAAUCUCUGUAAUCUCAUUGAUGAUCUCUUUUGAACCCUUUAUAUUCUGAUGACCAAAGUACCGUGUGU
ensembl:snoRNA